AAACUUUCAACAACGGAUCUCUUGGUUCUGGCAUCGAUGAAGAACGCAGCGAAAUGCGAUAAGUAAUGUGAAUUGCAGAAUUCAGUGAAUCAUCGAAUCUUUGAACGCACAUUGCGCCCCUUGGUAUUCCGAGGGGCAUGCCUGUUNGAGCGUCAUU
rnacentral:rRNA from 1 species